rnacentral:rRNA from 1 species
CAGUAGCCGCGGUAAUACGAAGGGGGCUAGCGUUGUUCGGAAUUACUGGGCGUAAAGCACACGUAGGCGGAUAUUUAAGUCAGGGGUGAAAUCCCAGAGCUCAACUCUGGAACUGCCUUUGAUACUGGGUAUCUUGAGUAUGGAAGAGGUGAGUGGAAUUCCGAGUGUAGAGGUGAAAUUCGUAGAUAUUCGGAGGAACACCAGUGGCGAAGGCGGCUCACUGGUCCAUUACUGACGCUGAGGUGCGAAAGCGUGGGGAGCAAACAGGAUUAGAGACCCGCGUAGUCCCUGUCUCUUAUAC